GAGUACAGAGGGCAUUGCUGGCUAUUUUUUGUCUUAUUGGACCAUCCCAUUUGUCCCAUCUAUCAAAAAUACGCGUCAUCAUGAAAACCAUUCCAACUUUGACGAACUUAGCACAAAAAAGUUCUAUAAAAAAAUAAUCCUCUAUUUAUUUGACUAUUUUUAUCAUCGAUUUUUGAUCGUAUUGAAUAUUUUAAGCUUGCUUACUGCUCAUUGUAAAAUAUUUAAAACAUUCCAGCAGAAUUUUUAGUUUCAAGCGAGGUGAGUAACCGAUGCACACAAAAGUUUUCUCCAAGGUCGCUGCUAUUCCAUCUUUAACGAGAAUUUGCACAGCAAAUGCUGUACCCAAAAAAGAUUUUUUAAGAUAAUAAGAAGUGGUAAUAGCAAUCGAGCAUCGUUAUAAUGUUGUUUGAGUAAAGAAUGAAAUAUCUUUGUAGCACUUGAAAUCCGUAUUUUCAUUGAAAAUUUUGGAUCUUUUUGAGCAAUCUACAAUAAAUAAAUAUUUAUAUCAUUAAUUAUAGGUGCUGACAUUCUAGUAAAUUUAUUCAAAACAAUUAUUAAAUGGCCUAAAAAAAAUUCAAGUCUAAGACGAAUAAGAAGGAUGCUGUAUUCAUGCAAUAAAUAAUCAAGGGUGUUAUGGUUGCGGAAUUCUUGCAUGUCUACAAUCGUGUCAAUUUAUUGGAGAUGUGCUCAAAUUUAUUCACUCAAUAUUAUUUGAAUUUUGAUGAGAUAUAUUUCAUCUAACAUUCAUAGUCAUUGACUUUAGAUAGGAC